rnacentral:rRNA from 1 species
AUUGAACUCUGGCGGCAGGCCUAACACAUGCAAGUCGAGCGGAGCGGCGGACGGGUGAGUAAUGCCUAGGAAUCUGCCUGGUAGUGGGGGAUAACGUCCGGAAACGGGCGCUAAUACCGCAUACUAUCAGAUGAGCCUAGGUCGGAUUAGCUAGUGGGGGGGGUAAAGGCCUACAAAGGCGACGAUCCGUAACGGGUCUGCAAGGAUUAGCAGUCAAACUGGAACUGAGACACGGUCCAGAAGCUUACGGGAGGCAGCAGUGGGGAAUAUUGGACAAUGGGCUAAAGCCUGAUACAGCCAUGCCGCGUGUGUGAAGAAGGUCUUCGGAUUGUAAAGCACUUUAAGUUGGGAGGCGUUACCAACAGAAUAAGCACCGGCUAACUUCGUGCCAGCAGCCGCGGUAAUAC